AAAUUGGAAGUUAUUGGAUAUUGUUUGCAGUUUUGAAUAUAUUAUCAAGCUAAUUUGUUCAACCAGUUUAUAGUUUCUAUUAAUUAAUUUAUUGGUAUCUAUAAAUUAAUAGAAUUAAAAGGUAUAAAACUUAUAUCUACGCGGAGUACGGAAGUAUUUGGCUUUCUAGUAAGGAGUUUAGAUUUAAAACUGGUUGACAAUUUCGGUUGACAAUUUGGACGGAUUGUGCUUAGUCAUUUGAAUAGGGAGAGAAGAAACUAAUUGUGAGUUGAAUUUGAUUGAUCGUUUAUACAU